rnacentral:rRNA from 1 species
AUUGAACGCUGGCGGCAUGCCUUACACAUGCAAGUCGAACGGUAACAGGUCUUCGGAUGCUGACGAGUGGCGAACGGGUGAGUAAUACAUCAGAACGUGCCUAGUAGUGGGGGAUAACUACUGGAAAGAGUGGCUAAUACCGCAUGAGAUCUACGGAGGAAAGCAGGGGAUCGCAAGACCUUGUGCUACUCGAGCGGCCGAUGGCAGAUUAGGUAGUUGGUGGGACAAAAGCUAACCAAGCCGACGAUCUGUAGCUGGUCUGAGAGGACGAUCAGCCCCACUGGGACUGAGACACGGCCCAGACUCCUACGGGAGGCAGCAGUGGGGAAUUUUGGACAAUGGGCGCAAGCCUGACCCAGCAAUGCCGCGUGCAGGAUGAAGGCCUUCGGGUUGUAAACUGCUUUUGUACGGAACGAAAAGCCCCGGGUUAAUACCCUGGGGUCAUGACGGUACCGUAAGAAUAAGCACCGGCUAACUACGUGCCAGCCGCCGCCGUAA